rnacentral:rRNA from 1 species
AAGGGCACCACAAGAACGCGUGGAGCAUGUGGCUUAAUUUGACCCAACGCGGGAAAUCUUACCGGGUCCGGACACACUGAGGAUUGACAGGCAAUAUUAAAAUUCGUGCAUCUCACUUCGGUGUUAUGUUUCGAAUUUUAUGUUAAAUAUGCUAGUCCUUUCAUGAUUAUGUGAUAGGUGGUGCAUGGCCGUUCUUAGUUCGUGGAGUGAUCUGUCUGCUUAAUUGCGUUUCACUAAGGGCUUAUAAUUUUAACGUGUGUUGUCAGUACUUUGACCCCAACUUUGAAAUAUAAGUUGUGAGUGUCUUAGUUUGCUAGACUCGCACAAAUGAGUCCUGAAAGCAACGAACGUGACCG